rnacentral:rRNA from 1 species
GGUUUAAUUCGAAGAUACACGAAGAACCUUACCUGGCCUUGACAUCCCAAGAACCCUUAAGAGAUUAGGGGUGCUAGCUUGCUAGAACUUGGUGACAGGUGCUGCACGGCUGUCGUCAGCUCGCGUCGUGAGAUGUUGGGUUAAGUCCCGCAACGAGCGCAACCCUCGUCGUUAGUUGCUAACAGUUCGGCUGAGCACUCUAACGAGACUGCCUUCGCAAGGAGGAGGAAGGUGAGGACGACGUCAAGUCAUCAUGGCCCUUACGGCCAGGGCUACACACGUGCUACAAUGGGGCGUACAAAGAGCUGCAAUACCGCGAGGUGGAGCCAAUCUCUUAAAGCGUCUCUCAGUUCGGAUUGUUCUCUGCAACUCGAGAACAUGAAGCUGGAAUCACUAGUAAUCGUAGAUCAGCUAUGCUACGGUGAAUACGUUCCCGGGUCUU